rnacentral:tRNA from 1 species
UGGGAGAGCGUUAGACUGAAGAUCUAAAGGUCACCAGUUCGAUCCUGGUUCGGGGCA